rnacentral:misc_RNA from 1 species
AAGGAGCACUUCUUACCAAGCCUGGCUUGUCAGAGGCCAGUACAUCAGCGAGUGUCUGAUGCUGGUUGCUCAUGGGUGGAACGUUGACUACUCGGCACGGUCGGUUCGUGAACCGCUAGUACUGCCUUCGGGGCUUGGAACGUGGGGAUCGGCUGAUGUGUCGGGCACGCUGUUGGGUAUCUGUGGGUGACGCGUUGCUCGUCCUUCGCGAUGCCGGCCCCAGUGAACUCAGCCUUCGGGUUGGGGUGGUGGGUGGCUGGUCGUUGCUUGAGAACUGCACAGUGGACGCGAGCAUCUGU